UACGGAUAAAGGUAUAGAUUUUUUCAGACCAUUGACCAUGGAAGUCAGGUUACAAAUCCUCUGGAAAAACCCCAAAGGUCUGGGGGUGGAAAUGAGAACAUAAUCGCCCAUGAUGAGCUGGCUGAGCAAAGUUGGGCCAAGCCAUCGAAUGCAGCUGUUGACUUCCCACAGGAUUGAUCUCUCUUGCCUCACAGUUCGCUUCAGGAGGAAGGUACAAAGCAGAGUGCAGACAAACCCCGGAAGGAAAUCGUUCUCAGAACUGCAAUUCUGGCCGGCGCAGUGGCUCACGCCUGUAAUCCCAGCACUUUGGGAGGCCGAGACGGGAGGAUCACAAGGUCAGGAGAUCUAGACCAUCCUGGCUAACACGGUGAAACCCCGUCUCUACUAAAAUUACAAAAAUUAACCGGGUGCAGUGGCGGGUGCUUGUAGUCCCAGCUACACGGGA
rnacentral:lncRNA from 1 species